rnacentral:rRNA from 1 species
GCCAUGCGAGUCGAGAGGGUUCGGCCCUCGGCGAACUGCUCAGUAACACGUGGAUAAUUUGCCCUUAGGUGGAGGAUAACCUCGGGAAACUGAGAAUAAUACUCCAUAGAUCUUAGAGGCUGGAAUGCACUAAGAUUGAAAACUCCGGUGCCUAAGGAUAAGUCUGCGGACUAUCAGGUUGUAGUCAGGGUAAAGACCUGACUAGCCUACGACGGAUACGGGUUGUGAGAGCAAUAACCCGGAGACGAUAUCUGAGACAUGAUAUCGGGCCCUACGGGGCGCAGCAGGCGCGAAACCUUCACAAUGUGCGAAAGCGCGAUGAGGGAAUCCCAAGUGCUUGCUCGUAAGAGUAAGCUGUUUUUAUGUCUAAAAAGCAUGAAGAGUAAGGGCUGGGUAAGACGGGUGCCAGCCGCCGCGGUAAUACCUGCAGCUCAAGUGGUGAUCGCUAUUAUUGGGCCUAAAACGUUCGUAGCCGGUUUGGUAAAUGCCUGGGUAAAUCGUGUAGCUUAACUAUACGAAUUCUGGGUAGACUGCUAAACUUGAGACCGGGAGAGGCUAGAGGUACUCCUGGGGUAGAGGUGAAAUUCUGUAAUCCUGGGGGACCACCAGUGGCGAAGGCGUCUAGCUAGAACGGGUCUGACGGUGAGGGACGAAGCCCUGGGGCGCAAACCGGAUUAGAUACCCGGGUAGUCCAGGGUGUAAACGCUGCUUGCUUGAUGUUAGUUGGGCUCCGAGCCCAAUUAGUGUCGGAGAGAAGUUGUUAAGCAAGCUGCCUGGGAAGUACGGUCGCAAGACUGAAACUUAA